ACAAGUAAACGGCUCUCCUAUAUUUAUCCUCCCUUGUCUAAAUUGUGGGGUUCCGUCAGUUUGCUAGGAGGAGCAGUGUAGUACAGAUGCUGAAAGAUCAGCUAUCAUCUUUUGACUGACAUCACUAAUUGCAAUGAUCUCUAUCAUUUGGGACUGCAGACUACUUACUAUAGUCUUUUCCAUACAAUCGUCUUUGAGAAAAGAAAAUUACCACCACAGUGACUAAAGUGCUUUGGAGAAUAAGAUGACCUCCUCCUCUCUGUGGCAGCCCCUCACAUAUUGGAAGUCUGCUAUCAAGUCACCUCUAGUCCUUCUUUUUGUUAGAUUAGACAUAAUUUCUGCAAUUGUUCAUAUAUUUUAUCCUCCAUUCCCCUAUCUUUGUUGCUCUUCUCUGCACUCUUUCUAGAGUCUCAACAUCCUUUUGUAUCAGGGUAGUCAAAACUGGAUGCAGUAUUCCAAGUGUUGUCUCACCUGUGCAGUAUAAAGCGGUACUAGCUCUU